rnacentral:piRNA from 1 species
CCCUCACACCAUACAGACAUACA